rnacentral:rRNA from 1 species
AAAUGAUCAUAAGCGGAGGGAAGGAACCAACAGGGAUUGCCUCAGUAACGGCGAGUGAAGCGGCAACAGCUCAAAUUUGAAAUCUGGCACUUUCAGUGUCCGAGUUGUAAUUUGUAGAGGAUGUUUCGGCCACGACCCCGGGUUAAAUUUCUUGGAACAGAAUGUCAGAGAGGGUGAGAACCCCGUCUUGACUCGGGCGUACGGGCCGUGUGAAACUCCUUCGACGAGUCGAGUUGUUUGGGAAUGCAGCUCAAAAUGGGUGGUAAAUUUCAUCUAAAGCUAAAUAUUGGCCAGAGACCGAUAGCGCACAAGUAGAGUGAUCGAAAGAUGAAAAGCACUUUGAAAAGAGAGUUAAACAGUAUGUGAAAUUGUUGAAAGGGAAGCGCUGGCAACCAGACUUGAGCGCGGCGGUUCCCCCGGGCUUCUGCCCGGGCUACUCCGUCGUGUCCAGGCCAACAUCGGUUUCGGGGGUCGGUCAAAGGCCCUGGGAAUGUAUCUACCCUUCGGGGUCGACUUAGAGCCCAGGGUGUCAUGCGACCUCCCGGGACCGAGGAACGCGCUUCGGCUCGGAUGUUGGCGUAAUGGUUGUCAGCGACCCGUCUUGAAACACGGACCAAGGAGUCUAACAUCUAUGCGAGUGUUAGGGUGUCAAACCCUCACGCGGAAUGAAAGUGAACGGAGGUAGGAAGCCGCAAGGCCGCACUAUCGACCGAUCCUGAAGUUUACGGAUGGAUUUGAGUAAGAGCAUAGCUGUUGGGACCCGAAAGAUGGUGAACUAUGCGUGAAUAGGGUGAAGCCAGAGGAAACUCUGGUGGAGGCUCGCAGCGGUUCUGACGUGCAAAUCGAUCGUCAAAUUUGCGUAUAGGGGCGAAAGACUAAUCGAACUAUCUGGUAGCUGGUUUCUGCCGAAGUUUCCCUCAGGAUAGCAGUAACGUUUUCAGUUUUAUGAGGUAAAGCGAAUGAUUAGAGGCCUUGGGGUUGAAACAACCUUAACCUAUUCUCAAACUUUAAAUAUGUAAGAAGUCCUUGUUACUUAAUUGAACGUGGACAUUUGAAUGUAUCGUUACUAGUGGGCAUUUGA